rnacentral:rRNA from 1 species
AGGGCAUAUGGUGGAUGCCUUGGCACUAGUAGGCGAUGAAGGACGUGGCUACCUGCGAUAAGCCCCGGCAAGACGGUAACAGUCUCUGACCCGGGGAUCUCCGAAUUGGACAACCAAUCCAGAGUAAUAUCUGGAUAUGUAUUACAGAAUAAAUAUGUAAUACAGGCUAACGAAGGGAACUGAAACAUCUAAGUACCUUUUGGAAAAGAAAACAACAGUGAUUUCCUUAGUAGCGGCGAGCGAAACGGAACCAGCCUAAACCAUGUAAUAUGUUAAAGAAUGCAAUCGUUGUAUUACGGGUGUUAUAGGACUUUCGGGUAAAUUUGCAUUAUACCGAAGAGUAAAAAACUUUUGAAUUAGACGAAUGUCUUGGAAAGGGCAACCAUAGACGGUGAAAGUCCGGUAGACGAAAAUUCAAAGGCUCUUGAAAGUAUCCUGAGUACCGCGGAGCACGUGGAAUUCUGCGGGAAUUUGCCAGAACCAUCUGGUAAGGCUAAAUACUAACUAGUGACCGAUAGUGAACAAGUACCGUGAGGGAAAGGUGAAAAGUACUCCUAACAGGAGGGUGAAAUAGAACCUGAAACCAUAUGCUUACAAACGGUAGUAGUCUUAUAAAGCAGCUUGCUGUUUUAUUUAGAUGACUGCGUGCCUUUUGCUUAAUGAGCCAACGAGUUACUCGUAUGUUGCAGCGUAAGUUUUUUAGAAACGGACGCAAAGCGAAAGCAAGUCCGAAUAGGGCGUUAAGUUACAUGCGGUAGACGCGAAACCGUGUGAUCUAUUCUUGACCAGGAUGAAAUAUCGGUAAAACGAUAUGGAGGUCCGAACUAGUGUGGGUUGAAAACCGCUUGGAUGAGUUGAGAAUAGGAGCGAAAGACCAAUCAAACUCGGAGAUAGCUCGUACUCCCCGAAAUAGCUUUAGGGCUAGCCUCGGAAUAGUAUGUUGAAGGUAGAGCACUAAUUGGGCUAGGGCCGCCACAGCGGUACCAAACCCAAAUAAACUCCGAAUAUCAAACAUAUGUUUUCCGGGAGUCAGGCAGUGGGGGAUAAGCUUCAUUGCCGAGAGGGAAAUAACCCAGACCAUCAAUUAAGGUCCCCAAGUUCAUGUUAACAGACUAAGGAUGUUGAGUUGCUUAGACAACUAGGAUGUUGGCUUAGAAGCAGCCAUUCAUUUAAAGAGUGCGUAAUAGCUCACUAGUCGAGCGACUUAGCGCCGAUAAUACUCGGGACUAAACAUGGCACCGAAAUUGUGGACUUCGUAAGGAGUGGUAGGGGAGCAUUCUAUUGGCGACUGCGGUGAACGCAGGUCCUUCGGGACGAAGGUGUCCGGCGACGGAUGCUGGAGUAAAUAGAAAAGAAAAUGUUGGCAUAAGUAACGAUAAACAAGAUGAAAAAUCUUGUCACCGCAAAUCCAAGGUUUCCUGAGCAAUGUUAAUCAUCUCAGGGUUAGUCGGUCCCUAAGCUGAGGCCAAACGGCGUAAGUAAUGGGAAACAGGUUAAAUAUUCCUGUACCUUCGACAUUUAAACCAAAAUGACGCAAAAGUGAAAGGAGAGCCACCUGAUGGAUGGUGGUCUAAGGUCGUAGUUGCGAGCAAUCGUGAUGAAAGCUGAACGGGAUGGCGCAAGCCUAUAAACUCUCCCUAAUCAUGUUGCCAAGAAAAGCUUUGGUGUAUACUAAGAAGACCGUACCGUAAACCGACACAGGUAGAUGAGGAGAGUAUCCUAAGGUGCUCGAGUGAGCCGUAGUCAAGGAACUCGGCAAAUUAACCCCGUAACUUCGGGAAAAGGGGUGCCCUCCUAUGGAGGGUCGCAGAGAAAUGGGCCAAGCGACUGUUUAACAAAAACACAUGUCUAUGCAAAGCCUUUAAGGCGAAGUAUAUGGACUGACACCUGCCCGGUGCUGGAAGGUUAAGAGGAGAGGUUAGCUUUCGGGCGAAGCUUUGAAUCGAAGCCCCAGUAAACGGCGGCCGUAACUAUAACGGUCCUAAGGUAGCGAAAUUCCUUGUCGGGUAAGUUCCGACCUGCACGAAUGGUGUAACGAUUUGGCCACUGUCUCGACUACGGGCUCGGUGAACUUGUGGUACCGGUGAAGACGCCGGUUACCUGCAUAUGGACGAAAAGACCCCGUGCACCUUUACUGCACCUUAGCAUUGUGUUUGGACACAACAUGUGUAGAAUAGGUGGGAGACUAUGAAGCGGUGGCGCUAGCCAUCGUGGAGUCGCAAUGUGAAAUACCACCCUUGUUUUGUUCGAAUUCUAACCUAGGCCCUUGAAUCAGGGUUGGGGACAGUGUUAGGCGGGUAGUUUGACUGGGGCGGUCGCCUCCU